rnacentral:rRNA from 1 species
UACAGAGGGUGCGAGCGUUGUUCGGAAUCAUUGGGCGUAAAGGGCGCGUAGGCGGCUUGCCAAGUCAGUGGUGAAAUCCUGCAGCUUAACUGCAGAAGUGCCUUUGAUACUGGCGAGCUCGAGGGAGGUAGGGGUAUGUGGAACUUCUGGUGGAGCGGUGAAAUGCGUUGAUAUCAGAAGGAACGCCGGUGGCGAAAGCGACGUACUGGACCUCUUCUGACGCUGAGGCGCGAAAGCUAGGGGAGCAAACGGG